UACGUAGGGUGCAAGCGUUAAUCGGAAUUACUGGGCGUAAAGCGUGCGCAGGCGGUUUUGUAAGUCUGUCGUGAAAGCCCCGGGCUCAACCUGGGAAUUGCAUUGGAAACUAGCGGGCUGGAGUGUGGCAGAGGGGGGUGGAAUUCCACGUGUAGCAGUGAAAUGCGUAGAGAUGUGGAGGAACACCGAUGGCGAAGGCAGCCCCCUGGGCUAACACUGACGCUCAUGCACGAAAGCGUGGGGAGCAAACAGG
rnacentral:rRNA from 1 species